rnacentral:rRNA from 1 species
GACGAACGCUGGCGGCGUGCUUAACACAUGCAAGUCGAACGAUGAAGCCGGAGCUUGCUCUGGUGAAUUAGUGGCGAACGGGUGAGUAACACGUGAGUAACCUGCCCUUGACUCUGGGAUAACUGCUAGAAAUGGUAGCUAAUACCGGAUACGACCCUCGGCGGCAUCGCCAGGGGGUGGAAAGAAUUUCGGUCAAGGAUGGACUCGCGGCCUAUCAGCUAGUUGGUGAGGUAACGGCUCACCAAGGCGACGACGGGUAGCCGGCCUGAGAGGGUGACCGGCCACACUGGGACUGAGACACGGCCCAGACUCCUACGGGAGGCAGCAGUGGGGAAUAUUGCACAAUGGGCGCAAGCCUGAUGCAGCAACGCCGCGUGAGGGGUGACGGCCUUCGGGUUGUAAACCUCUUUUAGUAGGGAAGAAGCGAAAGUGACGGUACCUGCAGAAAAAGCACCGGCUAACUACGUGCCAGCCGCCGCGGUAACAC